UACGGAGGGUGCAAGCGUUGUCCGGAUUUACUGGGUGUAAAGGGUGUGUAGGUGGAAUUGCAAGUCAGUGGUGAAAUCCUGCGGCUUAACCGUAGAACUGCCAUUGAUACUGCUUUUCUUGAGUACUGGAGAGGUCACUAGAAUUCGUGGUGUAGCGGUGAAAUGCGUAGAUAUCACGAGGAAUACCAGAGGCGUAGGCGGGUGACUGGACAGAUACUGACACUGAGGCACGAAAGCGUGGGGAGCAAACAGGAUUAGAUACCCCGGUAGUCC
rnacentral:rRNA from 1 species